rnacentral:lncRNA from 1 species
UAUUUUCAGAAAAGUUAGUUCUUUCCUACUCCUUUGAUCCUAUAACUUAGCCACAUCAUUACUUAAGCACUUAGUCUGCUAUAGUGGAUUACAGAGUUCUUUAAGAGUUGUAACUCUUAUCUUAACCACUAUAAUGUGCAUAGUGCUGAAUCAAGAUAUUGCCUACUACAAAACAAAACGAAAACAAAACCAGAACCAGAAACAAAAGAAAAAAAUUCGUCAAAAUAAUCUAGAAUCAGGAUACAGUUUAAAAUUAAGCUCUGAAAGUAAAUCAUACUCUCAAAAGAAAAUCAGCUGAUACCAACCAUUACAUUUUGGAACUAAGAGACAGAUUUUUUGUUUUUGUUUUUUUAAAUAGCUGUUAACUAGUCUCAUAAGGACAAAAUACAGAAAGACAGUUCUUACAGAGAAAUAGAAGCAAAAAAAGGAACCAAUGGAAAAUUUAAAACUGAAAAAUAGAAUAUCUGAAAUAAAAAAUUCACUAGAUGACAUAACUGUUGAGGAAAGAGUAUGUGAAUUUGAAGAAAGAGCAAUAGAAAUGUUCCAUUGUAAAGAACAAAGAGAAAAAAAAUUGAGAGGUAGGAAUGGCCUGUGAAGUGG